AGGUCAGUGUUUGUGAAGCCAAACCAGGGAAGAAUUGAAAACCACAGCUGUGUUUGCUGGUAACUCUUUAAGGUAUCCUAGACUGGGGUCGCGGGGAGUGUCUUCUCCUGCCAUGGCUACAACAGCUGAACCUGAAGGUGGCAAGGUCGUGUUUGGAUUCCAGGGUUGCAGUAGCUUGUGCUUCAAUGGGUCCAUCACCCAGCAAAAUGUGACCAUGAGAUUAAAAUGUUGCAGGAAUAAAGAAUUAUGUAACACACCUUAGAGGCCUGGUCUUUUCUGGCCCUAUUCUACUUCAGUGCCUUUCAAUGAAUCAAGGCCCUGGAGCAUUCCAAAAAGCACUCCAGCACUGUACCACGUCCAGAACUCUAAUCUAUGCUUUCUCCAUAAUAUAUCCUCAAUGUUAUUCCUAUUCUAGAUGUAUAUUACCAUAAUCCAUUGCAUGCUUUGCAUACAUUAUAAAAUUAUUUAUAGAAUGAUUUCAUUAAUUUUAGUACUUCCUUAAACACAUAAGACUAUUAUAUAUAAUUUAUGGAUUAUCCUUUAAGGUCAUUAACUAAUAUCCUUUGUUUUGUGAGACAAUAUUAAUGAUGUUGUGAUAAUAUGGUUAUUUUGGGUGAUUUAUUAGAAGGCUAAUGUCAUACACUGAUAGAUAUCAGCUUAGUGGCAGUCCUGAGUAGAGUUCAAGACAACAUGAAGAGAGCCUGUCACUUCUUAAAAGUGACAGCCUCACACAAAGGGAGGAGGCUCUAUGCCACAUGACUGAUAAGUACUCUACAGCCUGUGCUUGCAGUCAGACUGUGGCUGAUUCCUGGGUGGCAGGGGGGAAAGGAAGGACUUUGUUAGUCUGGGAUCUCUGUGCAGAAUCAGCUAUGAAGGUGGGCAGAUCCCACUGCAGAUGGGCGUGGUCUGAACAGCAGUUUUCUUUGGAUGUAGCAAGUUUGUUCGUCUAUAUUUCUUGAGUAGGAUGAGUUCAGGGAGGAAGAUGCAUUUUGUCCUGAUGCUUCACUUGACCCCAUGGGAUUUGUCAUUUUUCUUGGGUUCCACCUUUUUUUUUUUUGUCUUUUUGAGACAGGUCUCCCAGUAGCCCCAGAUAGCCUGAAACUUACUACAUAGACCAGGCUGACCCUGAACUCAGAGAUCUGCCUGCCUCUGCCUCCCGAGUACUGAGAUUAAAGGCAUGUGCCACCACACCCAGUUCUCUGGGUCCACUUUUAUAGAAGGCUCCACAUCCUGAGAAAAAUGCUAGGUGCUAAUUGAGUGAGCUUCCCCAUGGAUACUGAGAGCAGGACUUCAGGUUAAAGUCUGUCAUGAGUGCUGAUUCUUCUGAAAAGGAAUGCCUAGACUAUUUGGUUUCAUAACAUGCUCUUCAGAAGGGCAAUUUAACCUACUCUUCAUUUGGAGACCCAUAGAGAGGAAUACCACAAACCUUCAGUGAAUGGGGCCUGGAAAGGGAGCAUGAUAGCCUCAGUCCACCAGGCAGCUUAUAAUCCUUUGACUUCUGGGAGGAGGGGUCUGCAUGUGAGGGGGUCUAUAUUAACACAGUAGAGAAAGCUGUAGGAACACAGGCCUGCACCUUUAGGCCAGAGUAGAUAUCCUGAAUCGGGCCACUCCACAGGACAGCUUUCACUGAGAUAGAGUUGAGAAGCAGUGCUGUCACUCAACAGCUCUCAAUUUAUGGUACCUGGCUCCUCCAGGUUUCUUGCCACUUAUGCUGAACAAAGUCACAUGAUAUGAAACUUCCUGCCACCCCAAAAGGUAUAAAAAGUCAGACCUUUCCUUUGUUUUAGUGAUUUGUCUGAGCCUCCUCAGGGAAGCUGCUUGUUGAGUUGGUCCAGAGAUGAAGGAUAUUCUCUGAAGAGGCUCUUCUGUCCUCCCCCUGCCAUCCUUUUCCUAGUAGCUGUCUUUCUCUCUCAAAUUCUCUUUCUCUCUUUCGGGGGUGGGCACAGGGUCUCACUAUGCAGCACUGGCUGGCUUCAAACUCACUAUGUUGACCAGGCUGCCCUCUGACUCACAGAGAUCCAUUUGCCCAGUUCAUUCUCCCUGUUAAUGAGGCUCUUCGCCAGCAUUUAAAGAGAAGCCUGUCCUUCCAUUCAUUUACAACAUACUUACAUUAUUUAUUGUAUUAUUUCUGAGUAAUGUUCUCCCUCCCACAUCAAGGCCCAAUUAUGUCCUUGAGGUCCUUUCAUUAUAAUAAACCACAUUGAAGAGAA